GGGGGUGGUUCAGUGGUAGGGCACUUGCUUAGCGUGCAUGAGGUCCUGGGUUCAAUCCCCAGUACCUCCA
rnacentral:tRNA from 1 species